UUUUACUAGUUUCAGUUUGUAUUGUGUAUUAUUCUCAAUUUAGAACCGUAAUAAAAAGGAUUGACUAACCUGAAAUCGAACAUUAAAAUUGUCCUCAAUACGAACACUAACUCAUAACACCUGCACUAACCCUGAUCACCACUUCAGGACCAGAAAACAUUUCAGUUCCAAACAAUUACUAAUACACAGCAAAGCUCAAGUGAGAGUCACUGUGGAGUAUUUCUCCCGCAUCUAAGAUUGUGCUUCGGACCGCAUCCAAAAAUGGACCAGGCAACCGGCUGGCAUUAAGUCACUCACUUAUGCUAUAGCCUCUGGUCAUGUAUGCUGUCUACUCGCUAUAUUUCUCUUGUAUUUACGAUACUGGGUUCUGUUCCUCGGAGCUGGUUGAUUUUCCAUUAGUCUCUCUAUCUUUCGUCAUCCUUGUUGAGUCCAAUCACCCCCAGGCUCCGUAAGCCACUACACCCAACUCCAGUACUUCCUUCUCGGAACAUCGAUUCUCUGGAAUCUCCCCUUUCUUUUCUGAAGAUGUUAGCCUGCAACAGUUUAAACGGAACAUUAAAGUCAUCCAGCUAACUGGUCUCGGAUGGCCAGAUGAGAUCAUGACGGACCCUGUUCCUACAGUUCAAGAGAAGAAAAAGAAAAUCAAUUCAACAAAGUUAUUGCUGAUUACAACCGAACUUUACUGUCCACCUGAUUGCUUGCGACAUACAUUUGAAAUGAUACGACGAAACCUACAGGAAAUCAACCUGACCGAAAAUGAAUGGAAAAAGAUCAACAGCUUCCACAUAACGAUGACAUGUGAGAUUACAUAUCACAAUAAUAUUAAUUUCACAUUCAAUAGUUACCCUUGAACUAAAACUGACAUGUUUAUUAAAUGUGUUAUCAUUUAGUUCUGUCUGGAGAUUAUUUAUCGAUUGGUUUAAUCUUGCCUGAGUGACAGUAGUGUCAGUGUUGGACAUGUAAAUAGUGUGUAGUAGCAGUAGACAAGGAAGGUGUAGAAAAAGUGUGUGAUUGUUUAGUCCCAGCUGAUCGAUGAGUAAAGGCAUUCCCAACAUGACCGUCAUGCAGUUUUAGGAAUAUGUAACACUAUAUCCAGUGUGACGUGCUUCGUUUAAGACAAUAUACAAUGAUUUGAGGGAAUUUUGGCUGCUAUUUUAGUAGCUUAAAUGACCGUGUAGAGGCUCCAACUAUUUGGUGUGUUUAAGAAGAGAAAUAUACAGAAGGGAGGUAUGUGUAGAGGACAGCUUUGUAUCUUGAAAAGAGAAUUUUUAAAAGAAGCCAUGAUUAUUCUACUGUGAACUUACUGUGAAGUUUCCCUGGUCCAUUGAAGAAAAUAUCGACAUUACUAUUUGAGUGAAAAUUUUUGGAUAUUUGUUUAUUGGAUAACUUUAUUUCUGCAACAUAAAUAUCAAUGUCACAGUAUUGUAAAUGUUAAAAUUUCUGUAAAAAAGUACCAGAUUGAUGGAAAACAAACAGUUUGUUACAAAAAGACACUCGCACAUCUGUGAAAUCUGUGGUAAAGCAUUCUCAAGGAAACAUCAUGUAACACGACAUAAAGUGGUUCACACUGGAGAGAGACCAUACAAUUGUGAAAUUUGUGGAACAGCAUUUUUUACUAAUAGUCACUUGAAUAGACACAAACUAAUUCACACUGGAGAUAAAUUGUACAGUUGUAAUAUCUGUGGUAAAGAAUUCUCAAAGUCUAGUCUAGACAGACAUAAAAUACUUCAUACUUACAGAAAUGCUGCUUCUUGUGAGAUUUGUGGAAAGGCAUUUUUACGUAAGAGCCGCUUUGAAAAUCAUAUGCUUAGUCACUUGGGAGUGAAACCAUUCCAGUGUAAUAUAUGUGGGUGGACAUUUACUGAAAAGAAUCACUUAACAAGACAUAAAUUGAUACACACUGGAGAAAAGCCAUAUCAAUGUGAAAUUUGUGAAAAAUCAUUUUCACGAAAGGAUAAGUUAAAUGAACAUAAACUGACACACUCUACAGAGCCAGCAUUCCAAUGUCCUAUUUGUGAUAAAACAUUUUCAUCACGUGCUAGUUUAACUAGACAUGAAAUAUCCCAUACAAUUAAGAAACAAUACAAAUGUGAAACAUGUAACAGAGCAUUUUCACGUAAGGAGAAGCUCAAUAAACAUAAAUUGAAACAUUCUAUGGAGCCAGCAUCAUGAUGUAAUAUUUGUGAUAAAGUGUUUACAACUCAUAACAGUUUAACUAGAUAUGAAAUAUUUCAUACAACUGAAACACAAUAAAUGUGAAUAAGUGCUAUUAAAGCUGAAUGAAAUCAUACACACUAAAAUUAGACCAUACAUCUGCAAUAUUUGUGUCCUAUCAUUUGGAUACAGAGGGUUUAAGUCAGCAUAAUUUGGUUUGAAAGUAAAUUGUUUGAUGAUGAUGAUGAUGAUGAUAAUGUUGCCAACAACUUUUCCAAAAAGAUUUAUGUCGUGCAAAUGUCAUCUUCAUGUGCAUAUUCAUUAUUUUAAUACUCAUGUGGAUUGGCAGGUUUCCACGAUAACAUAUUUUCAAGCAUUUCUGUUCUCUAUUUUGGUUAGGUUUAACUCUUAAGCCCUGGUUUAUAUACCAAAUUCCAAUUUGCUGUUCUGGCUCCCUAUACUUGUUACAACUAAUCUUGUUGCAUUUUCAUGUCCACAUAUAUUAUUUACAUACAUAUAUGGCUCAGGCAUACUUGUUUAAGAAAUUUACUUCAUAUCCACAUAGUUUUGGGUUCAAUGCUACUGUUCAUCACUUUGGAAAAGUUGUCUAGGUGGAACAGUGUGUCAAGUUGUGCCCCUUCGCACCAAAAGUUUUAAACUUGCCAUUGGAUAAACAGAUAUUGAUAAAAUAAGUAUAAGAUAUAUAAAAGUUACUGGGAUUGAUAUGAUCAACCAACCCUUGACCUGCUGAAGUUGCCAUUUCCUCUCUGGUGCCUUAUUCUCCGCCCCCAUAAAGGAUGAAAAGUCCUUCUUGAGCCAUAGACGCACAAGACUGGUUUCCUGAUUCUGUGGUGUAUAUAUUCCCUGCUCUGGACAGGACAUCAGUCAAAAGCAGGAUUACUCAUUUUUACCAACUGAGUGGACUGGAACAAUGUGAAAUGCAUCACCUGGUUCAGAAAUUGAAACCACAGCCUUACAGAGUGCAACACCUUAAUCACUUAGCCAUGUGCCUCUACAAAUAUGUAUUAUAUGUGUUUGGUCUGGCAUUGAACUCAGAAGUCUAUUUCAUAAAUUCAACACACUCUAUGCCGUGGACAAGUAAUACCAAUAUUUGUCAAGUUUUGUGAUGUUUUAGAUAUUUAAUUAGCCAUAGACAUAUUGAUCAAGUACCAAAUGCUAUGUUGGUAUUUGGCUGUGUUUAUGCAGCCAAAUACCAAUGAUGUGUAAUUAAAAAUGCAGACGUGUCUUGCUACCUCAAAAUAAUGAACUGUAGUGGAAUUAGCUAGUACUGUGAAUUUCAGAGUUACUACUAAUCAAACGCUAGUCCCCACCUCCCUUCCUAGUGGUUCUUCAGUUGUUUACAGAUCCAUUUUUAUACUAUUUGUUUGCAUAUUGAAUCCUGAAGAGGAGACAACAUUUUAUAGUAAAAAGAAUCUUGUAUUUUCUGACAUAUUUACAUGAUAAAGCAGUAUAGUUCAUGCAUAUUGUCAAAGCAUAUGACAUUUACUCUAGAUGUAUACAAAUGUCACAGAGUUCAGUAGUUUGUAUACUACAAUGAUGGGUGCAAUUUGUCCAUGCCAGCAUGUUUUACUCUUUAUGGGUGCAGUACAUCAAGUUGCAUGUAGAUUAGUAAAAUUAACUGUUGUAAUCAACAGUAGCUAUAUUAAAUAGAUGAUAAUUUUGUUGCUCUGCAGGUCUGGUUCAAUGUCAUUUAAAAUUGCCUGCUAUCAUCUGGUGUCUUAUCGAAAGUUUUCUCUCCUUAGCUUCAUACAUCAUAGCAACUUGAUGUAAAACAUUCCAGAAAGUAGUUAGUGAUUCCAUAUAUUGUUUUUUGUUUGCAUACUAUAUAAAUACUCAGUUAUUUCACGAACACAUUUUUGAAAAAUACUCCUGAUUGUUGACUAAAGUUAGAAUAAAUAAGUUAACAAGGGAUAUAACAGUUUUGUUUUCACGUUUUUUAUUCCAGGGAAACAGGAACACUGUUGCUCAUCCUUCUGAAAUAAACUCCCUCUUGUUACACUCUACUGUCUUAAAGAAAGAAAAACACAUAAGAUAUCUGAAAGAUGUUAUGAAAUAGUCACAGCUGGAAUGCUUUUGAUUAUAGGUUUGCUUAAUCUGAGCUGAUUUUAGACAAAACAACUUCAUAUUGGCUAUUCCUGUACCAGUAUAUUGCAAUAAUGUCAUGACUGGUUGAAGUAUUCACUCUGGUCACUCAAGUUCCAUAUCUAAUACUCACAAACUACAGCGAUGAUUACUUCUUUUGAGGUUGUUAACUUUCAUCAUUUUAUAAUGAACAGUUAUGUAGUUCUUGGUGAUAUAUGCUUCAUGAACUGAACUCCACAUUUUGAAUUCUAUAUUUUGAACUACAAGAAUUCCUCAAUUAAGCAGACGUAUAGUAAAAGAAUAUUUCUGAUUAAUCUGUCUUUUUUAAAGCAUAAUGUACCUAGUAUUAACCAAACAAUAGGGUGUUAUUUAAGGGCUGUUUUUUCCAGCAGGUCACCCAACCACAUUGAGACUAUCAUCUGUUUGUAAAGAUAUGUGGAAUUCUGUUUUAUCUGUUUUGUUUAAAUUUAUUCAGGAUAGUUGUUCAGCUGAUAUUCUUUAGAUGCAUGAGGUCUGUCCAAAAAGAAACCGAGCUUAGUAAAAAACGUAUUGCUUUUCUAACAAUUUAAUUAUUUUUCCUUCAAAAUACUUCCUUCCACUUUUUAUACACCAUUUCCAAUACUUUUUUUUUCUAUUUUUGGAAUGAAUUUUCAGAGGUAUUGAUUGUCUAUGUAUAGCAAACUCAUGAUGAACAACUCUUUUCCAAUUAUAAAGGGCAAUUAACAUCGCUCACACAUUUGAGCGACUCUGAUGUACUUAUUUCGGUUGUAGCCAUGACAAUCCAACCCACUAUGAUGGCUUUUUCUUUCAACAUUGUAGCUGUACAUACACAUUUCAUUGCUUGUUAUGAAAUUUUUCAGAAAGUUUCCAUCAGCAUCUAAACAAUCAUACAAAUUCUGACAUACUGUGAUUUAGUUCUCUUUCUUUGUAGAUGCUACACAAAUUUUAUGACAUUAUAAUGCAUCUUCAAUUUUUCUUUUAAAAAUCAUAUGACAUAAGCUAUUAAUGAUGCCUACUUCUUAGAAAAGUUAUGCAGUUAGUUAGGUGACAAUUUUUAUUAAUCACAGCAUACACUUUUGAAAUGCAAUCAUCAUCUGUUAUCAUGGAAGGCCAUCCAGGUUUAGGAUUGUCUUCUAUAGUUCUUCCUAAUUUGAAGUUCUUGUACUAUUGUGUAUGGCUGAAAUAAUUUCGUUAUAGGCUCCCUUUAUAACAUUAGAAGAAUCUGUACUUAUUUAGCUUGUAUUUAAAACAGAAUUUCAUGCAAACAGGCUGCUCUCCCACAUCUUUCAUUGUUUGACCUGUGACAAAUGUCCAGGUGUGCUAAACAUGUUCAUUCUGGCACAUGUAACUGACAUGGCAUGCUGUGGCUAUUAUUAGAUUGAAGGUCAAGGCCAGCUAUAUAGAGUACUGCAGUUAUAAGGACACUGUACCUAUUGGUUUAAAAGUUUGGUUUAUUUUGAACAGACUUCGUAUAUAGCUUAAUUCAAUAACAGAACCCAUCUUUGUCUUUCACAUUCUCUUUUCUGUGAUAUUUUUUUAUAAAAUGAAUUAAUAAAUCAGUAUUUCCUUUAAA